GUGCAGCAGUCGAGAAUUUCUCUCAAUGGGGGCAACCCUGAAGGAGCGACGCCGCGUGGAGGAUGAAGGCUUUCGGGUCGUAAACUCCUGUCAUUUGAGAACAAGUGCCAACAAGUAACUACUGUUGGCUUGAUAGUAUCAGAAGAGGAAGGGACGGCUAACUCUGUGCCAGCAGCCGCGGUAAUACAGAGGUCCCAAGCGUUGUUCGGAUUCAUUGGGCGUAAAGGGUGCGUAGGUGGCGCCGUCAGUGGGGUGUGAAAUUCCGGAGCUUAACUCCGAAACUGCAUUCCAUACUGCGGUGCUUGAGGACUGGAGAGGAGACUGGAAUUCAUGGUGUAGCAGUGAAAUGCGUAGAGAUCAUGAGGAAGACCAGUGGCGAAGGCGGGUCUCUGGACAGUUCCUGACACUGAGGCACGAAGGCUAGGGGAGCGAACGGGAUUAGAUACCCCGGUGU
rnacentral:rRNA from 1 species